rnacentral:rRNA from 1 species
GAUGAACGCUAGCGGCAGGCUUAAUACAUGCAGGUCGUGGGGCAGCAGGUUUGUAGCAAUACAGAUGCUGGCGACCGGCAAACGGGUGCGGAACACGUACAGAACCUUCCUUUGAGCGGGGAAUAGCCCAGAGAAAUUUGGAUUAAUACCCCAUAGUAUAAUGAAGUGGCAUCACUUUAUUAUUAAAGAUUUAUCACUCGAAGAUGGCUGUGCGGCUGAUUAGGUAGUUGGCGGGGUAAAGGCCCACCAAGCCUGCGAUCAGUAACUGGUGUGAGAGCGCGACCAGUCACACGGGCACUGAGACACGGGCCCGACUCCUACGGGAGGCAGCAGUAAGGAAUAUUGGUCAAUGGAGGCAACUCUGAACCAGCCAUGCCGCGUGGAGGAUGAAGGUCCUCUGGAUUGUAAACUUCUUUUAUAUGGGACGAAAAAAGGCUUUUCUAAGUCGUCUGACGGUACCAUAUGAAUAAGCACGGCUAACUCCGUGCCAGCAGCCGCGGUAA